rnacentral:rRNA from 1 species
AGCAGCAGCCACGGGAAUACAGAGGGUGCGAGCGUUAAUCGGAUUUACUGGGCGUAAAGCGUGCGUAGGCGGCUUUUUAAGUCGGAUGUGAAAUCCCUGAGCUUAACUUAGGAAUUGCAUUCGAUACUGGGAAGCUAGAGUAUGGGAGAGGAUGGUAGAAUUCCAGGUGUAGCGGUGAAAUGUGUAGAGAUCUGGAGGAAUACCGAUGGCGAAGGCAGCCAUCUGGCCUAAUACUGACGCUGAGGUACGAAAGCAUGGGGAGCAAACAGGAUUAGAUACCCCCGUAGUCCCUGUCUCUUAUAC